CAUUGAAAUGUUUGUAGAGAGUUCGGUUGGUUCUCUCAUUUAUUCCUGGAAAAGGACACUAUGAUUACAGCUCCUGAUCACUCAAAGACGCAACUGGUUAUCAACCUAUACCUACUGCCCCACACUGAUCUAUCAAGUCACAUUCAAGAAACUAUACCAUAUUAUUCCAUCACUGGUCUAUCAAACCAUCUCAAAGAAAAUAAAGAAUCAAGAAGUGAAAAGA